CCCUUUCUCACAAUAGUGUACUACCAACAGCUCUCCAAAGCUCGUCCAGUGCCUUUAAUGGUGUACAAAAUUAAUCUACUUUUCUAAGAAUUCCAUCUUUUUCCUUAGAUUUGAAGCCUUUUAUUUUACAUGCAUUAAAUGUUUAUUAUUCGGAGGGAUGGGUGGUUUUUAAACUGAGGGGUGGGUAUACUAUUAGAGACAUUCUUUGUGACAGGACGGCUUUGUAGAGGUGCUGGUCACCUGUUCCUUCAUGCCCUCACUGGUUUGGCAUUUUAAUCUAUUUGGUUUCUUUGUAUCAUAAUUUAUCGGUUUGUAUUUAUUGUUUAUGCCAGGUGUAAAGCGUAACAAAACUAAACUGAAACCAAUGAAAGUAGUUUGCGGGCAGCCACAUUGAACGGAUGACGUUAACCCUAUAGACCUUUAUCGUGCUGACUCCAUCUUGGUCGUGUUCCUUGUAUCGAAUAUCAAUAAUGAAUGCCAGUAAUAAUUUUGCAAAUAUGAACCAGACUAUUUUGUUCUUCCAGCCUCGGUUUGGUUACAUUGAUAUCAAUUGACAAACUCAAGAUGGCUGCCUAUGAUAUAGGUCUCAAACUAUAGGACACAAACUGAGGUGUGAAGGCCUACUGCUUAUAGCCAAGGUCAUGAACAGUUGUGCGAUGAUUUUUAAUCUCUAGUACCCUGUUAUUUAUAAGAGAUAAUUAUUACACAUAACAUUCGCAUGGUGUUUAGACAACGCUGCAGUGUGAGUGGCGCAAUAAACAUACAUUACAUGGUAGAAUAGCGUUGUCACCACUACAGGUUUUCAUUAAAUUCUUCAAGGCCAGCGCAACACAUGUAUGUAACUAUGAUCCUCAAAAUGUUUAAGUGUCACUAUUCAUCGAAUGACGCUACGAAGCUCGCCAGAUUCGGACCCCCCCCCCCCGUUUUCGAAACUAAAGACUCCGCUGCCUGAAGCUUCAUACCGAACGCACACAUUUCAAAAUAUUUGACAGAUCCUGAGCCCAAACCGAAACCGUGGUUUCGAAAAGGCCACAUACUCCUGGAUGAGGGGGAAAUGGUUUACAGAUAACCGCGGAAUGAGCAUCCCACACAUACCAACACUACCAAAAAAAUAGUGAUUUUUAACCACUUCGCGAGUACGUCCUAUCAUGUGUGACCACAGUUUUUUUCGGCAAAAAAUACACAAGUACCUUUAAAUGCAAUUUUAAAAAU